AAAGUUGUUGCAGUUAAAAAGCUCGUAGUUGGAUUUCUGGUGGGGCUGUCGGCCUGGCUCCGAAGGGGUCGUGGUAUCGUUACACGCCUGGCCAUCCUCGGGGGAAGCUUUGCUGGCAUUAAGUUGUCGGCGGAGUGACGCUCGUCGUUUACUGUGAACAAAUUAGAGUGUUCAAAGCAGGCUUAGGCCGUUGAAUACAUUAGCAUGGAAUAAUGAGAUAGGACUUUGGUGGUCUAUUUUGUUGGUUUGCACGCCGAAGUAAUGAUUAAUAGGGGCGGUUGGGGGUAUUCGUAUUCAAUUGUCAGAGGUGAAAUUCUUGGAUUUAUGGAAGACGAACUACUGCGAAAGCAUUUACCAAGGAUGUUUUCAUUAAUCAAGAACGAAAGUUAGGGGAUCGAAGAAGAUUAGAUACCUUCGUAGUCUUAACCAUAAACUAUGCCGACUAGGGAUUGGCGGUCGCUUGUUCAGGCUCCGUCAGCACCUUAUGAGAAAUCAAAGUCUUUGGGUUCCGGGGGGAGUAUGGUCGCAAGGCUGAAACUUAAA
rnacentral:rRNA from 1 species